rnacentral:lncRNA from 1 species
AAACGAAUGUGCUCCGUUAAAGGUGGGGCUGUUUUACUCAAGAUGACUCAGGGCCUUAAGGAGCAUGGAAGCAUAUGGGUAGCAAAAUUACAUUUUAAAUGUAAUAUGCAAAAUGGUAAUGCAAUAUGUAAAAUUGCACUGUAUUUAAAUUGACAUUUUCCCAUACAUAUGUGCAACAUUUAGUGCAAAAUGAAAAUUAAAUCGCUGUUGAGGGUGGUACUACCUUCCUGAAAUGAGUUUUGAAAAACAAAAAAUUAAAACGAAUGUGCUCCGUUAAAGGUGGGGCUGUUUUACUCAAGAUGACUCAGGGCCUUAAGGAGCAUGGAAGCAUAUGGGUAGCAAAAUUACAUUUUAAAUGUAAUAUGUAAAAUGGUAAUGCAAUAUGUAAAAUUGCACUGUAUUUAAAUUGACAUUUUCUCAUACAUAUGUGCAACAUUUAGUGCAAAAUGAAAAUUAAAUCGCUGUUGAGGGUGGUACUACCUUCCUGAAAUGAGUUUUUGCAGGGUGGGGUGUCUGAAUUUUGCUACCCAUAUGCAUCCAUAAAAGGAAAUGCCAUCAAUGAUUGUAACGGAUGUAUGUCGUCACAUUUGCAAAUUGAUGUAAAAGUUAUUUUCUUUUCGCUAACAUUCGAAUAUUAACACUUAAUAAAACACCAACAAUCACAACUAGCUAGGUAAGAUGAUUACCUUAAAAGUCGGUCCUAUUUCUGUUUUCUCUAGUUGUGUAGCCUAGAAUAAAAAAAAAAAAAAAAAAGUAAGUCAAACGUCUAGUGGCGUCAUUUUGAAAACAGGCAUAUGUGUUCUUUAAUAUGAAACAGUGACUAAUAAUUUAAAAUUUCCUAGUGACAAAAAAACAACAAAUAUAGGCAGCAUUUUAAGCAUCACAGGUGCACUCUUGAUGCAACUAACUGUAGCUGUGUCCCAAACUUAAGUGCAUGGACUCCGAAGUGCGGAUGUUUAGUGCGAUUGCGUCUCAGCGUCACGACGAAGGCUGACGUAAUUCCAAAAAAGCGACUUCAAAUGCGUCCUUCAUUUCCCAUGAAAAUGAAGUGUACAUCAUGGCACAGAAUCACUUGCGUGCAUAUGACGAGGUGUUUAUAUUCAGAGGCAGGUGAGAGUUCUGUGGAGGACUUCACAUUGAAAUGCAUGGUUUAUUUGUGAAGUGUCCUGAGACAGGUGAGGGAGCGAGUGGACAGGGAGGACAUCAAACUCAAACAAAUACAUUCUUCAUUAGCCAAGAGAAAACAGUAGGGGAAAAAUGAGUACAUUACAGUUUUUGAUGCAUAAAUUGGAUACAUUACUCAUUUUUUGUGUGCAAUUUAUUCGUAAAUAAGCCUGAGUACUUUCUGUACAUUUUGUAUUUUUGUUUUGCAUAUUCACAUGUGUAAAUAAAAGAAAAGUGCUUAUGUACAUUGUUAAUUUUUUUUCAUGUAGCUUAUAAUUAUUUUCAGAAAACAUUCUUUUAUAUGUUUAUUUGUUUGUCCUGUAAAUACUUUUUUACACAUUAAAACAAAUUGUUCUAUACAUAAUAGAAAGUACUUUUUACAACCAUUUA